AGUGAACGCUGGCGGUAGGCCUAACACAUGCAAGUCGAACGGCAGCACAGGAGAGCUUGCUCUCUGGGUCGCGAGUGGCGGACGGGUGAGGAAUACAUCGGAAUCUACUUUUUGGUGGGGGAUAAGGUAGGGAAACUUACGCUACUACCGCAUACGACCUACGGGUGAAAGCAGGGGACCUUCGGGCCUUGCGCGAUUGACUGAGCCGAUGUCGGAUUAGCUAGUUGGCGGGGUAAAGGCCCACCAAGGCGACGAUCCGUAGCUGGUCUGAGAGGAUGAUCAGCCACACUGGAACUGAGACACGGUCCAGACUCCUACGGGAGGCAGCAGUGGGGAAUAUUGGACAAUGGGCGCAAGCCUGAUCCAGCCAUACCGCGUGGGUGAAGAAGGCCUUCGGGUUGUAAAGCCCUUUUGUUGGGGAAGAAAUCCAGCUGGCUAAUACCCGGUUGGGAUGACGGUACCCAAAGAAUAAGCACCGGCUAACUUCGUGCCAGCAGCCGCAGUAA
rnacentral:rRNA from 1 species